rnacentral:rRNA from 2 species
CUGGCGGCGGCCUACACAUGCAGUCGAGCGGUACAAGUUAUCCUUGCCUUCCGGUGACGAUCGCGGCAUCGAUGGGUGGAGGGUGGAGUUCUGCCUAAGAAAUUGCCCUGAUGUGGGGGAUAACCGUUGGAAACCAUGGCUAAUACCGCAUGAUGCCUACGGGCCAUUCAGGGGGACCUUCGGGCCUCUCGCGUCAGGAUAUGCCUAUGUGGGAUUAGCUAGUUGGUGAGGUAAGGGCUCACCCCGGCGACGAUCCCUAGCUGGUCUGACAGGAUGAUCACCGACACUGGAACUGAAACACGGUCCAGACUCCUACGGGAGGCUAUUGUGGGGAGUAUUGCACAAUGGGCGCAAGCCUGAUGCAGUAUGCCGCGUGCGUGAGGAAGGCCUUCGGGUUGUAAAGCACUUUCAGUCGUGAUGAAGGUAUUGUAAUUAAUAGAGCUUCCGUUGGGAGUUAGCACCGGAUAACUCCCCGGCUACCUCCCGUGCCAACACCCGAGGUUAUACGGUUGUUGCAAAUUUUAAUCCGAAUUACGGGGCC